CGCGUAGGUGGUUUGUUAAGUCAGCUGUGAAAGCCCCGGGCUCAACCUGGGAACUGCAGUUGAUACUGGCAGGCUAGAGUACGAGAGAGGGAGGUAGAAUUCCAUGUGUAGCGGUGAAAUGCGUAGAUAUAUGGAGGAAUACCAGUGGCGAAGGCGGCCUCCUGGCUCGAUACUGACACUGAGGUGCGAAAGCGUGGGUAGCAAACAGGAUUAGAUACCCUGGUAGUCC
rnacentral:rRNA from 1 species